rnacentral:rRNA from 1 species
ACUCCUACGGGAGGGCAGCAGUAGGGAAUCUUCCACAAUGGGCGCAAGCCUGAUGGAGCAACACCGCGUGAGUGAAGAAGGGUUUCGGCUCGUAAAGCUCUGUUGUUAAAGAAGAACACGUAUGAGAGUAACUGUUCAUACGUUGACGGUAUUUAACCAGAAAGUCACGGCUAACUACGUGCCAGCAGCCGCGGUAAUACGUAGGUGGCAAGCGUUAUCCGGAUUUAUUGGGCGUAAAGAGAGUGCAGGCGGUUUUCUAAGUCUGAUGUGAAAGCCUUCGGCUUAACCGGGAGAAGUGCAUCGGAAACUGGAUAACUUGAGUGCAGAAGAGGGUAGUGGAACUCCAUGUGUAGCGGUGGAAUGCGUAGAUAUAUGGAAGAACACCAGUGGCGAAGGCGGCUACCUGGUCUGCAACUGACGCUGAGACUCGAAAGCAUGGGGUAGCGAACAGGAUUAGAUACCCCU